rnacentral:rRNA from 1 species
AUGAGCGAUGCUGCGUCAGGUUCGGGCCAGGGCGCCACAGAUCUAGCAGCCAUGAUGAAAGAAUUGGGAUUGAAGGAGGAGGACCUUCAGGAUGUUGUGGUUGAAGAUGAAGAACUAGAAGCGGAGGCGGCCCGCUGGAUGGCAAUCGCUAGGGUACACACGGAGAAACCCUACAGCCAAUACUGGUUCUUCAGGAACAUGAGAAUCGCUUGGGAUCUGGCGAAGGAGGUGAAGAUAAGGCCAUUAGAAGACAAUCUGUACACCAUGCAGUUCGGUUGUCUCGGCGACUGGGAA